GUUGUGGGCCCUAUAGUAACACCCCAAUGGGGUCGGGGGGGUUGUGGGCCCUAUAGUAACACCCCGGGGGGGGGUUGUGCCCCCCCCUAUGGCUGUCCCUGAUAAGCAGCACUUCGAGGAAGGGCACGUCACCUUCCUUUCACCCCAGGGGGGGGGGGCAAAAAGGGGUGGGGGCCCCCCCAGAUCCCUUUAACACCCCCCCACCCCAAACCCCACCUCAACCUGCUCCCCCCCCCCACAAUUAAAACCCAUUAUAAGUUGGGGGGGGGGGGAGUAAAGCAAUGGGGGGGGCACCCCUUGUUGUGUGUGUGUCCUGUGCCCCCCCCCCACCCCCUUCUAUGCCCAACCGCCUCCCGCCCGCUAUCAGAUAAGGCCUUAUCAGUGCCCUACAGCCCCGGGGCCGUUACCCAAAGGGAGUAAAGGGGGGGGGGACCCCAAAGUGCCCGCCCCCCCCACCCCAAAAAAAAGGGAGGGGGGGGGUCUUGGAUGGGGGGGGGCACAGCCCCUCCCUACAGGCGGGGCUGCGUCCGUCUGUCCGUCCGUGAGAGCGGGGUGACACACGGCUGCAGGUCAGUGACCCCCCCACUAUGAUAAGGGGGGGGUGGUUAUAUUAUCUAUAAGGGGGGGGUGUUUAAUGGGGUUAAUGUGGGGAGGGGGCACUGCUGAUGGACUCACCCCCCCCCCCCCCCUUUUUUUUUUUUUUUCCCCCCCCCCCCCCCCCUUAUGGAGUUUGUGGCGCUGGGGGGGCCGGACGCGGGUUCCCCCCCUCCAUUCCCUGAUGAAGCCGGAGCCUUUUUGGGGCUGGGGGGGGGCGAGGGGACGGAGGCGGGGGGGCUGCUGGCCUCAUACCCCCCCUCAGCAGUGGACCCCCAGCAUGCGGUGAGUGGGGGGGGGGGACUGGGAGCAAUGGGAGGGAAUGGGGGGAAUCUGGGAUGGGGGGUGGGGGCACUGGGUGGGACUGGGAAGGGGGUGGGGGGACUGGGAAGGGGGUGGCCAAUACUGGUGUAUACUGGCCCAUACUGGCUCAUACUGGUCCAUACUGGUCCAUACUGGCCCAUACUGGUUUAUACUGGUCCAUACUGGUGUAUACUGGCCCAUACUGGUGUAUACGGGCCCAUACUGGUGUAUACUGGUUCAUUCUGGUGUAUACUGGCCCAUACUGGUUUAUACUGGCCCAUACUGGUGUAUACUGGUCCAUACAGGUGUAUACUGGUCCAUACUGGUGUAUACUGGCCCACACUGGUGUAUACGGGUCCAUACUGGUGUAUACUGGCCCAUACUGGUGUAUGCUGGUCCAUACUGGUGUAUACUGGCCCAUACUGGUGUAUACUGGCCCAUACUGGUGUAUACUGGCCCAUACUGGUGUAUACGGGUCCAUACUGGUGUAUACCGGUCCAUACUGGUGUAUACUGGUCCAUACUGGUGUAUACUGGUUUGUUCUGGUGUAUACUGGCCCAUACAGGUGUAUACUGGUUCAUUCUGGUGUAUACGGGUCCAUACUGGUGUAUACUGGUUCAUUCUGGUGUAUGCUGGUCCAUACUGGCGUAUACUGGCACAUACUGGUAUAUACUGGUUCAUUCUGGUGUAUACUGGUCCACACUGGUGUAUACUGGAUCGUAUUAGUGUAUAUGGCUUCAUAUAGGUGUAUGCUGGUCCAUACUGGUGUAUACUGGCCCAUAAUGGUGUAUACUGGUCCAUACUGGCGUAUACUGGUCCAUACUGGGAGGAGACACUGGAAUACAAACAGCUUAUAGACACACUAUAGGAGCAUCCUAUAGGAGGGGGGGGGGGAGGGAUUUAUGGUGGUUUGUAGCGGUCCAUACUGGUCUAUACUGGUCUAUACUGGUCUAUACUGGUCCUUACUGGUCCUUACUGGUCCUUACUGGUCUAUACUGGUCUAUACUGGCCCAUACUGAUCCAUACUGGUCUAUACUGGUCCAUACUGGUCUAUACUGGCCCAUACUGGUCUAUACUGGUCCUUACUGGCCCAUACUGGUCUAUACUGGUCCUUACUGGUCUAUACUGGUCUAUACUGGUCAGAGGCCCGUGAAUGCGUCAACUGCGGGGCCAUGUCCACCCCGCUCUGGAGGAGGGAUGGCACCGGGCACUACCUGUGCAACGCCUGCGGGCUCUACCACAAAAUGAACGGUCAAAACCGACCUCUGAUCCGCCCCAAAAAGCGCCUGGUGAGCCCCAAAACCACGACCCCCCCCACUAGGAGACCCCCCCCCAUCCCACAACCCCCCUGUACGCCCCCCCAAAAGCACCCUAAAAUCCCUAAUAUCACCCCAAAAUCAACCCCCCCCCCCAUCGCGCUCAAUGCAUCCCCAUCUCUACCCCCUUACCCUGUGUGCUCACAGACAGCCCCAUAUCUGCCCCAAAAAGCGCCUGGUGAGCCCCAAAACCACGGCCCCCCCCCACUAGGAGACCCCCCCCAUCCAACAACCCCCCUGUACGCCCCUUCAAAAGCACCCUAAAA
ensembl:lncRNA